rnacentral:misc_RNA from 1 species
GAAAUCUGUGAAGGCUUCCC